CUCUUCAGGCGCACAAUAUGUUCAUCAUCUUUUGAAACUGAGCAAGUAAGAAAGCCUUAUGUAGUUUGCCUUUAUCAGGAUGUGUUUAAAUGUCUGUACAGUGAUUUUACCAGUCCUGGGACAUCUAGACCGACUGGCUUCAGCUCCAUUGUACCAUCCUGACAUACAUUGUGUUGGUGGUGACUUACUGACCAUUGAACAAUGCUGUAGAAGCUGGUGUACACUGUAUAGAGGGUUAGCAUUCAGAAGAAGAGCUUGGACCUUCACAUAUGCUGACAUCACACUGGUGAGGUGUGGUUUUUGCUGCUAUUCUUCUGAGAAACAGCUUCUCCAAAAACACAUUAAGAAAAAUCACCUAGGUUCAAGAAGUUUCUUAACCAGCUCCCAGCUCACUUUUACCCUCAGAUCACUUCCUGUAAAAAAUUAGGUUCUUCAUGCUUGAACUACCACCAGAGCAUCCCUGCGAAUAAGGAAGCUGUUGGCGUUGUCACACUUCUGUGCUGAAAGCCAAGGGUUAUCUGGAAGAAGAGAAGAAACAGUCCCUAUGCGGCAAUUAAAAGCACUUAGAAUGGUCUUCCCGAAAGCCUUCUGUGUAUUUUGGGGCAGGUGGAAACUCCAGUGUGCUGAGAGGAGUGUGAAGAUUUGUGUUGCACAAAGGUGGACAUGUUGAUUUUUUGUUCUGGUUACCUCUUGCUGAUAUAUUCUGCUUACUUACAAAUGAAGAGUUUGACAUUUGAAGGCAGAAUCUGUUGAAAUGUACCAAAGCUGACAGUGAACACUACUGGUUGUUUCUGUACUACAUCUCUUAUUUUUGAUACGGGUCUCUACAUAAAUUAUAUAUAUAUAUUUAAAUAUAUAUAUAAACAUAUAUACAAGUAAAUUAUUAAAAAAAAAAUCUACUGAUGCUGUAGGACUCAAUGUGGUAAAAAAAAAAUC